AUACUACUACUAUUCACAUUCCAUUCUCACGCGCCUCCUCUUUUCUCUCUCUCUCUCUGCACACAACAAAUACAAAACCCUCUCUCUUUUUCUCUCUUGUAUAGAGAUAGAUGAAAGUACUGUGAAUUUUCUUCCAUGUUUCGUUCUCUCUUCUCUCUCAUUCUCUACGGUUCGUAGCUUCGUUCAAUUUCACUUCUUCGAGUUUACACUUUCUAAAUUAGGGUUUAUCAAUCACUGCAUAAGUUUCUACUUUUUAUUUCCAAUUUUUAACCUAGUUUUACUUUACUACAAUCAAUACCUUGAAACUGGUUUAUCAUUUUUUUUCUUUUUUUUCUUUUUUUUCUUUUCUUUUUUUAAUUUUGGGAACAAGAUUUUCACUGUUUCUUUCAGUUUCUUAGCUCAAUUCAGCUUUGGAUUACAAUUCUCCUAA